UUGAGAAUGUUGCCUGUCUGAGCCCUGAGAUGAGCUGAGGGUUCCUCCUCCCCAGCCAGCACCAGCCUCACACAGCCCUUGUAAAUCUGAAAGUGCUGUUGGUAGCAACCAGGGAUGGGCAGAGGCAGCCCUGUCCUGAGGGUGACAUGAAAGUGAGAGCAAGCUGAAGCUCCAGUUGGCUUAGUCUUCAAAAGUGUCACUUUCAGAUUAUAUCCCUCAGCUUUAAAAUAUCCUUCUUUGAAGUCCAUCCUGCUCUGCCCACUAUUUGUCCCCGGUGGUCACUUCCUCCUCUGUGCUCCCGUGGCCUGGGAUUCACACCAGGAAAGAACGCCACGAAGAAGGAAUGACAAGAAAAUGGAGGCAAAGAACAUUGGAGUCACUCCCUGGCUACACACACUGAGGUGAUAACCAAGGUGCUCAAAAAGGGCCGGUGUGCCGCAGUGAGUGCCAGUUUGAAUGAAGGAAGCAUGCGUGGCCUGAAGCCUCACCGUGUUCCAGGCGUCCAGUUAAGUGCUCUGCACAUAAUAUCACACAUUGCGCUCCACGAUAAGGGUCUGGAAAGCAAUCCUCCACAGAAAGAAAGCAGAAUCUUCUGGGCAUUUCUGAGCAAGUGGACUUCCUUCAGCUGAGCACAGUCCUCAGGAGAAGCGGACAGGUGCAAAGUGUUGGAAGCCAACACUCACAGCAGUUGGGGGUUGGAGUGCUCUGGCUUCCAACAGCAUUGAAACCAACAGCAUUGACUACAG
rnacentral:lncRNA from 10 species